GAUGAACGCUGGCGGCGUGCUUAACACAUGCAAGUCGAACGAUGAAGAAAAGAAUCGAAGCUUCGGCAGAAAUUCAUUUCGGAUUAGUGGCAGACGGGUGAGUAACGCGUGAGCAACCUACCUCUUACAAAGGGAUAGCCUCGGGAAACCGGGAUUAAUACCAUAUAACAUUGUGACGAAGCAUUUCGAUGCAAUCAAAGCUACGGCGGUAAGAGAUGGGCUCGCGUCCCAUUAACCGGAUGGUGAGGUAACGGCUCACCAUAGUGACGAUGGGUAACCGGCCUGAGAGGGUGAACGGUCACACUGGAACUGAGACACGGUCCAGACUCCUACGGGAGGCAGCAGUGGGGAAUAUUGCACAAUGGAGGGAACUCUGAUGCAGCGACGCCGCGUGAGUGAUGAAGGAAUUCGUUUCGUAAAACUCUGUUCUAUGGGAAGAAAAGGACUGUACCAUAGGAGAAAGCUCCGGCUAAAUACGUG
rnacentral:rRNA from 1 species